rnacentral:rRNA from 1 species
GAUGAACGCUGGCGGCGUGCCUAAUACAUGCAAGUCGAGCGAACAGAUGAGGAGCUUGCUCCUCUGACGUUAGCGGCGGACGGGUGAGUAACACGUGGAUAACCUACCUAUAAGACUGGGAUAACUUCGGGAAACCGGAGCUAAUACCGGAUAAUAUAUUGAACCGCAUGGUUCAAUAGUGAAAGACGGUUUUGCUGUCACUUAUAGAUGGAUCCGCGCCGCACUAGCUAGUUGGUAAGGUAACGGCUUACCAAGGCAACGAUGCGUAGCCGACCUGAGAGGGUGAUCGGCCACACUGGAACUGAGACACGGUCCAGACUCCUACGGGAGGCAGCAGUAGGGAAUAGUCCGCAAUGGGCGAAAGCCUGACGGAGCAACGCCGCGUGAGUGAUGAAGGUCUUCGGAUCGUAAAGCUCUGUUAUUAGGGAAGAACAAAUGUGUAAGUAACUAUGCACGUCUUGACGGUACCUAAUCAGAAAGCCACGGCUAACUACGUG